ACCGCUCCAAAUGCAAACCCACCCAAACCCCAUUCCGCCCACACCUCCAUCUUCAUUUCCAUCUCCAAACACCCAAAUUCCGCUGUACUUACCCGGAUCGCCAGAGUUUCCGCCCCCGGACGACCUCCUGCAAUUCAAACACCCACUAUACCUCCAUACCGCCUGACAUUCGGCAGCUGAAAAGAAUUAACCCGUAAUGUGUGCUGGGUAGGAGAAAGCGGAAAAGGUAGUGAUAGGAAAGCAAAUUGUAGUGGAGGUCUAUAUUUCUUCUUUUUGGGCUCUAGACAUGAGGAAAAAAACAUGAACAGCGAUGUACAAGAAUUGGAGGAUACAACAAUUAGCCUAUUCGGUGGUAACUGAUGUGCUAAAAGAAAUAUGAGAAGAUUGGAUGGAAAGCAAUCAAGCGACCCAGUGUGAAAAUUGAUGGAAAACGACUACAAUUCUACCAGUACCUAGGAAGAUGAGAAACUUUUCACAGGGACUGUAUGUAAAGCACUUUCUACUGCUAUGCAGUUAACUAUCAGGGUUCUUGGUGCUGAAAGUAUGUUGUUUAUCCUUAGAAUUUUGUUUCCAAUGUCUUGUAUUCUACAGUAAUGCUAUUGGUAAGGAGUCAUGAGCAGGUCCGACAUUGUAGUCAACUGGGUUCGGUCUCAAGGUGAUGUUUAUAAAUAUGGGAUUUGAUAAGGAAACUUCAUAUGAAUUCCAUAGCUGUUUAUGCUCAAAA